CUAUAUCACAACAUACACUCAUUUGGUAACAGCCAAUCAAAUCCAAAGCAUCUCGAGCUAUACUUCUACGACGAUGAUCCAAGCUUAGAGCAUCGAUACCGCCUUUGCCGUGAGGAAAUGUACGAGCAAGACAAGAAUGUCAUUCGAAUUAUAACAGGUAUCCUACGCGGUAACCCAUACUCUCAACAGUUCAGGAGUUUGGGACAAGCCGAAAACAUUGAGGACUACAGACUCAUGUUGAACCUUGACCAGAGAUUGGACCAAAGAACAUACAACGAGCCAAUCAAUUCAGAGGUAGCUGCAGUGUGGAUUGAAGGAAAUGAAAGAAGGGAUACUUAUGACAGAAAUGUAAUAUUACAUGGGAACAACAACGAAAAAGAGCACAUUCAAUCAUAUUAUGGGUGCUAUGAUCCAUUGUCAUAUCCUCUAUUCUUUCCAAGAGCUGAACUCGGUUGGCAUAGGAAAAUACCAAAGAGGGAAACAAAAGAGGCACAUAUUGCUGCUGAUAAUAUCACUAAUGACGAUGACCCAUGUAAAAAAACAUAUGCUAUUAUAUAUUUAAAAUACAAUUUUAAUAUACUAAUACCUAUGCAACUAACUUUUUAUCUUCCAAUAUUUGCACAGAUUCAGCCAGUGGCCUGUGGGUAA
rnacentral:rRNA from 1 species